rnacentral:pre_miRNA from 1 species
CAUCAGGUGUCCCCUAGAGUUUCCUCGAACACUUCAUUAGGAUGUCUAACUCUCUUAAUUAAACUAAUUAAGGGAUAAGUUAUACUUACAGUCUCUACUGAAGUGUUUGGGGGAACUCCGGGUGUCAUUUGAUG